UAUUGGUCAAUGGGCGAUAGCCUGAACCAGCCAAGUCGCGUGAGGGAAGACGGCCCUAUGGGUUGUAAACCUCUUUUGUCGGGGAGCAAGGUCGCUACGUGUAGUGAUUUGAGAGUACCCGAAGAAAAAGCAUCGGCUAACUCAGUGCCAGCAGCCGCGGUAAUACGGAGGAUGCGAGCGUUAUCCGGAUUUAUUGGGUUUAAAGGGUGCGUAGGCGGGAGAUCAAGUCAGCGGUAAAAAUGCGGGGCCCAACCCCGUCGAGCCGUUGAAACUGGUUUUCUUGAGUGGGCGAGAAGUAUGCGGAAUGCGUGGUGUAGCGGUGAAAUGCAUAGAUAUCACGCAGAACUCCGAUUGCGAAGGCAGCAUGCCGGCUCCACACUGACGCUGAGGCACGAAAGCGUGGGUAUCGAACAGG
rnacentral:rRNA from 1 species